ACCUGCACUCCGCGGACAGAACAUUUAAGCCAUGACGCCUAUAUUUUUGGUGCGUUUUGGAUGCGGAGCCAUGCGCAAAGUUUCAAAAAUGCCAUGCAGACAUAGGCAUGGUGGUGUGCUCUGCAUUUUUGUAACUUUGCACAUGAUUUCACAUCCGAAACCCAUUACUCCUCCCCCAAAAGUGAGCUGUGCUGAACUGGGUCAUACUAUGCAGUGGAAAAGCGCCAAAAGUGUCCUACUUCGUGGCUUGAAGGAUUUGGCAGUUUCAGCGUUGGACUUGUAAUUCUGCGUGUUUGGCCUCUUUAGCACAUGCUGUUUGAAAGUCAUUGCUUGCAACAGAUUGAGCGACUGUCAUUCUGCAUUUCUGUUUGCAUUGCUUUGCUUGCAUUUUGAAUCCUUCGCAAUAAUAACUUCGCAAAAAGUUUUACAUUUGAACUGUAGUUGUAGAUUCAAGUUUGUUUUUCCUUGAUAUAAUGUAUUUAUAUAGAUUUUUACAAUUAUUUAUCAUGCAGUGCUUCAUAUAUGAGAAAGACAACGCUUGAAGAACCACACAACACUCAUAUUAAUGUAUGUGUCAUAUUAAUAAAAAUAAACAAGUCUUUGCACUUCA